rnacentral:tRNA from 1 species
GUCGAGUUAGCUUAAAGGUAAAGCGGUAAUCUUGUAAAUUACAAAUUAUGGAUUCAAAUUCCAUACUCGGCU